UGGCCAAGAGCGCGCCGACAUGUUGUACGGAAGCCGAAGCAGCUCGCCCCCGUGGGCGGGACUGCGUAGCGCCGCCACGUUGUACGGCGGCCUCCGGGAGACGAUAGCUGCUUCUCUCCUGACCUGGUCGUGAGCUGCUUCCUUCCUUCCUUCCAGGGCUAGGGGUUGGAAUGGAGACCAGUAUAGAAUACCAGUGUCGUUGAAUAAAUGAAUGAAUUUACUUGGAAAAUGUUCUCUGUAUUUCUAGAGAGACUUGGCUGGGCAGAGAUACAAAGAAAGAGACAGACAAGCUUCUGAUCCACUGGCUCACAGCUAGAUUGAAAGAAUAUUUGGAAAACGUGGUGAUGCUGUUUAUAUAAGUAUACCCCAUUAUAAGUCUCCUGGAGAUCCACAAGAAUUUGCUUGUGUGGGAUUUGAAACAAAAGAACACGCAGCAAAAGCUAUUGAGAGAUACAAAGAAAGAGACAGACAAGCUUCUGAUCCACUGGCUCACAGCUAGAUUGAAAGAAUAUUUGGAAAACGUGGUGAUGCUGUUUAUAUAAGUAUACCCCAUUAUAAGUCUCCUGGAGAUCCACAAGAAUUUGCUUGUGUGGGAUUUGAAACAAAAGAACACGCAGCAAAAGCUAUUGAGUUUCUUAACACCCCACUGGAGGAAGCACCAAGAAAUCCUGGCGUAUUUCCUAAAACAGUGAUAGACAAGCCCAUUCUGGCCCUAGGAAUAGCUGGCAGGAAUUUGGAGGGGCAGAUCUGUGGCCACUAUUAGCAAAUGGAACCAGCAUGAGUUCCAACUUGGAAAGAGUCAACAUGGAAUAAGUGAACGUUCAUGGAUGAGGAAACUACGACUGAGAGGGGCUAAAGUAUUUGCAGACUCAACAUGACAUCAGGCUGUUUGGCUUGGAAGCCCUUAUUCUUUCCAGAAACACUUCUCCCCAGCUUCUUUGCACCAGCCAGACAGCACCCAGAUACACUGUACUUAAGCUGAAUUACAGAUUCUAACGCAGUGAUUCACUACAGGAAAGGGGAGAAUUCCUUUGACAAAUUUAAGGUGGCUGACUUUAAUGUUUGGGGGUUCUGUUUCAUGGUUGUCUCCUUCAAAAAAUUCUGAAAACAAGAAGUAUAUAGUUAAUUUAUUGAGAGAGAGAAAGAGAGAGAGAGAGAGAGAGAGAAAAUCUUCCACCUGCUGGAUCACUCCCCAAAUGCCUGCAACAGCCAGGGCUGGGCAAGGUUGAAACCAGGAGCCAGAAACUCAACCAGGUCUCCCUGGGUGACAGGGACCCCACCACUUGUGCUAUCACCUGCUGCCUCCCAGGAUGCACAUUAGCAGGUAGCUGGACUCGAGAGCGAAGCCAGAACUUGAACCCAGGCACUCUGAUAUGAUACAGGAGCCUCCAUGUGGGUUUCUAACCACUGUGCCAAUGCCAGCCUUAAGGAAAAAUUUUUUUUGCUUCAAUUUUCAAUGCUUUUUUUUUUUUAAAGUUUCUAGCCAACAAUUGUGUUUGAUGAUAUGCAAAGUUAGUUUGUCCUUUUCUAUUGAUUCACAUUUUUUUAAAGGUUUAUUAUUUAUUUGAAAGGCAGAGAGGAAGAGAGAGAGAGAGAGAGAGAGAGAGAGAGAGAGAGAGAGAGAGAUCUUCCAUCUGCUGGUUCACUCCCCAGAUGGCCACAACUGCUGGAGCUGAGUCACUCUGAAGCCAGGAGCCAGGAGCUUCUUCCGGGUCUCCCAUGUGGAUGCAGGGGCCCAAGGACUUGGACCAUCUUCACUGCUUUCCCAGGCCAUAGCAGAGAGCUGGAUCAGAGGUGGAGCAGCCGGGACUCUAUCUGGCACCCAUAUGGGAUGCCGGC